rnacentral:rRNA from 1 species
GAUGAACGCUAGCGGCAGGCCUAAUACAUGCAAGUCGAGGGAGAAUGUUGGAUUCGUCUGACAUGAAACCGGCGCACGGGUGCGUAACACGUAUGCAACCUACCUUUAACUGGGGUAUAGCUCAGAGAAAUCUGAAUUAAUCCCCCAUAAGACUACGACAUGGCAUCAUGAUGUAGUUAAAGCUCCGGCGGUUAAGGAUGGGCAUGCGGUACAUUAGCUAGUUGGUGAGGUAAUGGCUCACCAAGGCUACGAUGUAUAGGGGGUCUGAGAGGGUGCUCCCCCACAAUGGUACUGAGACACGGACCAGAGUCCGACGGGAGGCAGCAGUAGGGAAUAUUGGUCAAUGGACGCAAGUCUGAACCAGCCAUGCCGCGUGAAGGAUGAAGGCCCUAUGGGUCGUAAACUUCUUUUAUUAGGGAAGAAAAAACGGGAUGCGUCCUGUACUGACGGUACUUAAUGAAUAAGGAUCGGCUAACUUCGUGCCAGCCGCCGCAGUAA